rnacentral:rRNA from 1 species
UGGCGAACGGGUGAGUAAACACGUGGGUGACCUGCCCUGCACUUCGGGAUAAGCCUGGGAAACUGGGUCUAAUACCGGAUAGGACCGCACCGUGAGGGUGUGGUGGAAAGUUUUUUCGGUGUGGGAUGGGCCCGCGGCCUAUCAGCUUGUUGGUGGGGUAAUGGCCUACCAAGGCGGCGACGGGUAGCCGGCCUGAGAGGGUGGACGGCCACAUUGGGACUGAGACACGGCCCAGACUCCUACGGGAGGCAGCAGUGGGGAAUAUUGCACAAUGGGCGGAAGCCUGAUGCAGCGACGCCGCGUGGGGGAUGACGGCCUUCGGGUUGUAAACUCCUUUCACCAUCGACGAAGGGUUUCUGACGGUAGAUGGAGAAGAAGCACCGGCUAACUACGUGCCAGCAGCCGCGGUAAUACG